rnacentral:rRNA from 1 species
GACGAACGCUGGCGGCGUGCCUAAUACAUGCAAGUAGAACGCACAGUUUAUACCGUAGCUUGCUACACCAUAAACUGUGAGUUGCGAACGGGUGAGUAACGCGUAGGUAACCUGCCUGGUAGCGGGGGAUAACUAUUGGAAACGAUAGCUAAUACCGCAUAAUAUUGAUUAUUGCAUGAUAAUUGAUUGAAAGAUGCUAUUGCAUCACUACCAGAUGGACCUGCGUUGUAUUAGCUAGUAGGUGAGGUAACGGCUCACCUAGGCGACGAUACAUAGCCGACCUGAGAGGGUGAUCGGCCACACUGGGACUGAGACACGGCCCAGACUCCUACGGGAGGCAGCAGUAGGGAAUCUUCGGCAAUGGACGAAAGUCUGACCGAGCAACGCCGCGUGAGUGAAGAAGGUUGUCGGAUCGUAAAGCUCUGUUGUAAGAGAAGAACGGGUGUGAGAGUGGAAAGUUCGCACUGUGACGGUAUCUUACCAGAAAGGGACGGCUAACUACGUG